ensembl:snRNA U6 U6 spliceosomal RNA
GUGCUCGCUUUGGCAGCACACGUACUAACAUUGGAAUGCUACAGGGAAGAUUAGCGUGGCCCCUGUGCAAGGAUGACAUGCAAAUUUGUGAAGUGUUCCAUAUUUGA